GCUGAAUGUGGGGAUAAUUUAUCUCCGUGUUGUAGCUAACGCGUUAAGCACUCCGCCUGGGGACUACGGUCGCAAGACUAAAACUCAAAGGAAUUGACGGGGACCCGCACAAGCGGUGGAGCAUGUGGUUUAAUUCGAUGCAACGCGAAAAACCUUACCACUCCUUGACAUGGAGAUUAGAUCCUUCUUAACAGAAGGGCGCAGUUCGGCUGGAUCUCGCACAGGUGCUGCAUGGCUGUCGUCAGCUCGUGUCGUGAGAUGUUGGGUUAAGUCCCGCAACGAGCGUAACCCUCAUCCUUAGUUGCCAGCGGGUAAGCCGGGCACUUUAAGGAAACUGCCGGUGGUAAACCGGAGGAAGGUGGGGAUGAUGUCAAGUCAGCACGGCCCUUAUGGGGUGGGCUACACACGUGCUACAAUGGUGACUACAAUAGGUUGCAAUGUCGCAAGGCUGAGCUAAUCCGUAAAAGUCAUCUCAGUUCGGAUUGUCCUCUGCAACUCGAGGGCAUGAAGUCGGAAUCGCUAGUAAUCGUGGAUCAGCAUGCCACGGUGAAUACGUUCUCGGGUCUUGUACACACUGCCCGUCACGCCAUGGGAAUUGGCUUAACUCCAAGCUGGUGCGCUAACCGAAAGGAAGCAGCCAU
rnacentral:rRNA from 1 species